UACGGAGGUGGCAAGCGUUGCUCGGAUUCAUUGGGUGUAAAGGGUCGGUAGGCGGUUUUAUAAGUGCUUGGUAAAAUCCCGCAGCUUAACUGCGGAACGCCCAGGUAGACUGUAAGACUUGAGGGCUGGAUAGGCAGACGGAAUUCCCGGUGUAAGGGUGAAAUCUGUAGAUAUCGGGAGGAACACCAGAGGCGAAGGCGGUCUGCUGGACAGCAUCUGACGCUGAGCGACGAAAGCGUGGGGAGCAAACAGG
rnacentral:rRNA from 1 species